GUAGUACUCCCUCCGUCACAAAAAUCUUGUUUUAGAUUUGUCAAGAUAUAAAUGUAUCUAGUCACGUUUNNNNNNUUAGAUACAUCCAUUUCUAAACAAAGAUAAGACAAUUAUUUUAGGACGGAGGGAGUAUCUC
rfam:Hordeum vulgare subsp. vulgare, WGS project CAJW01000000 data, contig: morex_contig_357935